UACGUAGGGUGCAAGCGUUGUCCGGAAUUAUUGGGCGUAAAGAGCUUGUAGGCGGUUUGUCGCGUCUGCUGUGAAAUUUCGGGGCUCAACCCCGAACUUGCAGUGGGUACGGGCAGACUAGAGUGUGGUAGGGGAGACUGGAAUUCCUGGUGUAGCGGUGAAAUGCGCAGAUAUCAGGAGGAACACCGAUGGCGAAGGCAGGUCUCUGGGCCACUACUGACGCUGAGAAGCGAAAGCAUGGGAAGCGAACAGG
rnacentral:rRNA from 1 species